AGUGAACGCUGGCGGUAGGCCUAACACAUGCAAGUCGAACGGCAGCACAGUAAGAGCUUGCUCUUACGGGUGGCGAGUGGCGGACGGGUGAGGAAUACAUCGGAAUCUACUUUUUCGUGGGGGAUAACGUAGGGAAACUUACGCUAAUACCGCAUACGACCUACGGGUGAAAGCAGGGGAUCUUCGGACCUUGCGCGAUUGAAUGAGCCGAUGUCGGAUUAGCUAGUUGGCGGGGUAAAGGCCCACCAAGGCGACGAUCCGUAGCUGGUCUGAGAGGAUGAACAGCCACACUGGAACUGAGACAAGGUCCAGACUCCUACGGGAGGCACCAGUGGGGAAUAUUGGACAAUGGGCGCAAGCCUGAUCCAGCCAUACCGCGUGGGGGAAGAAGGCCUUCGGGUUGUAAAGCCCUUUUGUUGGGAAAGAAAAGCAGCAGGUUAAUACCCCGCUGUUCUGACGGUACCCAAAGAAUAAGCACCGGCUAACUUCGUG
rnacentral:rRNA from 1 species